UACAGAGGGGGCAAGCGUUGUUCGGAAUUACUGGGCGUAAAGGGCGCGUAGGCGGCCUGCUAAGUCGAACGUGAAAUCCCUGGGCUCAACCCAGGAACUGCGUCCGAUACUGGUUGGCUUGAAUCCGGGAGAGGGACGUGGAAUUCCAGGUGUAACGGUGAAAUGCGUAGAUAUCUGGAGGAACACCGGUGGCGAAGGCGACGUCCUGGACCGGUAUUGACGCUGAGGCGCGAAAGCCAGGGGAGCAAACGGG
rnacentral:rRNA from 1 species